rnacentral:rRNA from 1 species
GAUGAACGCUGGCGGCGUGCCUAAUACAUGCAAGUCGAGCGAAUGGAUUAAGAGCUUGCUCUUAUGAAGUUAGCGGCGGACGGGUGAGUAACACGUGGGUAACCUGCCCAUAAGACUGGGAUAACUCCGGGAAACCGGGGCUAAUACCGGAUAACAUUUUGAACCGCAUGGUUCGAAAUUGAAAGGCGGCUUCGGCUGUCACUUCUGGAUGGACCCGCGUCGCAUUAGCUAGUUGGUGAGGUAACGGCACACCAAGGCAACGAUGCGUAGCCGACCUGGGAGGGGGAUCGGCCACACUGGGACGGAGACACGGCCCAGACUCCUACGGGAGGCAGCAGUAGGGAAUCUUCCGCAAUGGACGAAAGUCUGACGGAGCAACGCCGCGUGAGUGAUGAAGGCUUUCGGGUCGUAAAACUCUGUUGUUAGGGAAGAACAAGUGCUAGUUGAAUAAGCUGGCACCUUGACGGUACCUAACCAGAAAGCCACGGCUAACUACGUGCCAGCCGCCGCAGUAA